AUAGGUUGAAAAUCACCCAUGGCUUUGGCCUUUGCAGUCGGAGAGAUUCAGAGCUCAGGAUGUCAGCUGGGUCACACCCACUGCCCAUUUUCUUUAACAGGGUAAUGAGACCUAGCACCAUAUGU
rnacentral:snoRNA from 1 species